rnacentral:rRNA from 1 species
GACGAACGCUGGCGGCGUGCUUAACACAUGCAAGUCGAACGGAAAGGCCCUGCUUUUGUGGGGUGCUCGAGUGGCGAACGGGUGAGUAACACGUGAGUAACCUGCCCUUGACUUUGGGAUAACUUCAGGAAACUGGGGCUAAUACCGGAUAGGAGCUCCUGCUGCAUGGUGGGGGUUGGAAAGUUUCGGCGGUUGGGGAUGGACUCGCGGCUUAUCAGCUUGUUGGUGGGGUAGUGGCUUACCAAGGCUUUGACGGGUAGCCGGCCUGAGAGGGUGACCGGCCACUUGGGACCGGGUAUCCCACCCGCUCCCCUGCGGGGGGCAGGGGUGGGAAUUUUUGCACAGGGGGGGGAAGCGUGAUCCCGCACCCCCGCGUGGGGGAUGGCGGCUUUCGGUUUGAAACCCGCUUCCGCCUGUGACGAAGGGUGAGUCGCGUUAGGGUAUAAAGAAGCCCCCCCUACCUACGUC